rnacentral:rRNA from 1 species
UGGGAAGUCUUGCGCAAUGGCCUAACGGCUGACGCAGCGACGCCGCGUGUGGGAUGAAGCUCUUCGGAGUGUAAACCACUGUUGCCCGGAGCGAAUAGCUCGAUUCAUCGAGCCUGACGGUACCGGGUGAGGAAGCACCGGCUAACUCCGUGCCAGCAGCCGCGGUAAUACGGGGGUGCGAGCGUUGUCCGGAAUCACUGGGCGUAAAGGGCGCGUAGGUGGUUUGAUAAGGGUGUGGUGAAAGUCCGGGGCUCAACCCGCGAUCUGCCGUGCCGACUGUCAAACUCGAGGGCUGUAGAGGCAGACGGAAUUCCGGGUGUAGCGGUGGAAUUGCGUAGAGAUCCGGAGGAAGACCGGUGGCGAAGGCGGUCUGCUGGGCAGUUUUCUGACACUGAUGCGCGACAGCGU